rnacentral:rRNA from 1 species
GACGAACGCUGGCGGCGUGCUUAACACAUGCAAGUCGAGCGGAAAGGCCCUUUCGGGGGUACUCGAGCGGCGAACGGGUGAGUAACACGUGAGUAAUCUGCCCUUCACUUUGGGAUAACCCCCGGAAACGGGAGCUAAUACCGGAUAUGACCGGCAACCGCAUGGUUUGUUGGUGGAAACUUUUUUGGGUGGGGGAUGUGCUCGCGGCCUAUCAGCUUGUUGGUGGGGUAAUGGCUUACCAAGGCUUUGACGGGUAGCCGGCCUGAGAGGGUGACCGGCCACACUGGGACUGAGACACGGCCCAGACUCCUACGGGAGGCAGCAGUGGGGAAUAUUGGACAAUGGGCGGAAGCCUGAUCCAGCAACGCCGCGUGAGGGAUGACGGCCUUCGGGUUGUAAACCUCUUUCUGCACCGACGAAGCGUGAGUGACGGUAGGUGCAGAGGAAGGACCGGCCAACUACGUGCCAGCCGCCGCCGUAAAAC